rnacentral:rRNA from 1 species
UACGGGGGGAGCAAGCGUUGUUCGGAUUUACUGGGCGUAAAGGGCGCGUAGGCGGCCACCGCAAGUCAAUUGUGAAAUCUCCGGGCUUAACUCGGAAAGGUCAACUGAUACUGCGGGGCUAGAGUACGGAAGGGGCAACUGGAAUUCUCGGUGUAGCGGUGAAAUGCGUAGAUAUCGAGAGGAACACCUGCGGCGAAGGCGGGUUGCUGGGCCGACACUGACGCUGAUGCGCGAAAGCCAGGGGAGCGAACGGG